rnacentral:lncRNA from 1 species
GUAGAACCAAUAUGGAUACAUUGGAAUGCAAAAUACAAAAUUCAUGCUUAAAAGUUGAAUUGGAAGAGAUAAAAUUGAAGAAUAUUGGAUUUAAGAUAAUUGCCCUUCUGGAAAAGAAAGGGGGAGUCAAAAAGAACUUAGCUUUCAAUUAUCUUUAUACCUGUACAUCUGAGCAAAUACUGUGUAUAUAUUUAAAUUUCGAAUUUUGCAUAUACUCAGUGUUUUGUCAUCAUCAAAAAGGUGGAGAUUGUUGACCCCCUAAUGGAUUUUGAUGAAUACAAAA